UGGGGAAUAUUGGACAAUGGGCGAAAGCCUGAUCCAGCCAUGCCGCGUGAGUGACGAAGGCCUUAGGGUUGUAAAACUCUUUCGUCGGGGACGAUAAUGACGGUACCCGAAGAAGAAGCUCCGGCUAACUUCGUGCCAGCAGCCGCGGUAAUACGAAGGGACCAAGCGUUGUUCGGAUUUACUGGGCGUAAAGGGCGCGUAGGCGGCAAUUCAAGUCAUCUGUGAAAUCUCCGGGCUUAACUCGGAACGGUCAGAUGAUACUGCUUUGCUAGAGUGCAGAAGGGGCAAUCGGAAUUCUUGGUGUAGCGGUGAAAUGCGUAGAUAUCAAGAGGAACACCUGAGGUGAAGACGGGUUGCUGGGCUGACACUGACGCUGAGGCGCGAAAGCCAGGGGAGCAAACGGGAUUAGAUACCCUAGUAGUCCCUGAGCGGGCUGGCAAGGCGCAU
rnacentral:rRNA from 1 species